CCCGUGAUUAUGUAUAUUAGUCAUACGUAUUUUAUGAACAACAUUCAAUUCAAUUCAAUUACUUUAAUUGAAAAUUAGGAAUAACUUUAAUGAGUAAUUUAAAUUUUAGGUAGCACAUUGAGUGUUGUAAAAAAAAUCUAGGUAUGUGUAUUUGGUUUUGUAAAAAGUCACUAUAUAAAUUUUGAAGACUUGUUAUCAUUAAAACUCCUUUAUUGUGCUUUUAUUACAUUCAUUUUAGAAUACAGAUUACCUAUUUGGAGUCCAUAUUCAAAAUUUGACAGUAAUUUCAUUAGAUGCGUCCAAUACUUUUCUUAGAUUUAUUACCUUUAAAUUCAAUAUAACUUAAUAAUCAUGAUUAUAUAAUACAAUAUAGUUCUUUCUAAAUAUUCUAACUCUUGCGCCUAGAUGUGAUCUAUCGAUUCUAAUGAAUAUUUCUUUAGUUUAUAAAUUAGAUAGUAAAAUUGAUGCAUUCGAUUUAUUAGUUAUUAAUUAGAAUCCUAUAAGAAUCUCUGCUUUUUAUACUAACAUACAGCACAAAUUAUUUAAAAUAUUUCCCUAUUCCGUAUGUGAUAAACUUCAAAUGAAUUUGGAUUUUCUUCUU